CUGAAUUUCUUUUUAGAUGGACGCUCUUCGCCUGUGUUUCACGAGAGUCAACUUUCUACAGGGAGAAGUUCUCCUAUUAACUGCAAAACUCAAAUGGCAUGAUGGCCCAGAUGAGUUUGAAGGGGAAAUGUGGGAAGGUGCCAUUUUCUCAGUCUCUGCUUUGCCAGACCAUCUGUGACGCUGCCAUCAGCACAUUAAAAAAACACAAACAAAAAUAAUGGAGACCAUGUCCAAAUAUUUAAAAGUAUGCACAGGAGAGGAUGGGUGGUGGUGGCCGUAAGACGACUCUCCCUUGACCAAUGGCACUUACAGUUUUUUUUUUUUUUUUUAAGUGUUUAAACACCCAUAUUUCUUUUUGUUUGUUUCAUUUAUAGUUUCAUGUUUUACUGUUGUUGCAGUUACU